rnacentral:rRNA from 1 species
UUUUUUCAUUAUUUACUUUGUUUUUAUUAUUUUUUUUGGUGGAAGGAUAUUAUUUUUUAUUAUUUUUGUUUGAAAAAAUUUGUUUAUUUAUAGUUUAUUUUACUGUGAAGGAGUUGUCUUAAGCUUUUAUAAGAAGUUUUUGUUUAUUGUACCUUGUGUAUCAGGGUUUAUUAAUUUAGUUUCAAUUGUUUGGAUUUCCCGAAUUUAUAAGAGUUAUGUUAAGAUUAAUUUUACUGUUUAAUAAGUAUUUAUAAUUUUAGUAUGGGAGUGAAACGUUAUUCGCUUAUGAAUAUAUCUGGUUUCUUAAGAAAUAGAUUUAAUCUAGGGGACUGGCUUGGUAUUUAUGAGUUUUUAUUUUUACUUUAAGGUUUUCUAAUACUGGAGGGGAUAAGCUUUUUAGUAUGUUUAGAUAAGGUUUUAUUUUUCUGGGUUUAUAUAGGAUUAGAAUUUUUCAUUAUUUUUAUUAUGUUAUAAUUAUUUCCUGGAUUUUUAGAUUUUUUGUUCUUUUUGUUUUUAUUAGGAUUAUUUCUUUAUUUUUUUAUGGGAUGUGAUAAUGAUAAAAUUAGUAUAAUUUUUUGUUUUUGUGUUUUUCUUGCUUAAGGCUGAGCUAAGGAAUUCGGCAAAUUUAGUUUUCACCUGUUUAUUAAAAACAUGUCUUCUUGAUAUUAAUUUGAGGUCGGACCUGCCCAAUGAUUUUUAAAUGGCCGCAGUAUUUUGACUGUGCAAAGGUAGCAUAAUCAUUAGUUUCUUAAUUAGAAGCUGGAAUGAAUGGUCUGAUGAGAAAUAAGCUGUCUCUGCUUAGAUUUUAUAGAAUUUUAUUUUUGAGUAAAAAAGCUUAAAUUUUGUAUAAAGACGAGAAGACCCUAUAGAGUUUUAUAGCUAUUUUUUUUGGUUUUUAGAUGAUUUGUUUUUACUAGAUUUUUAUGCUAUUUUGUUGGGGUGACAUUAAAAUUGGUUUAACUUUUUUUAUAUUUUUACGUUUAUUUGCGGUUAAGUGAUCCUUUGCUUUGGAUUAUAAGAUUAAAUUACCUUAGGGAUAACAGCGUAAUUUUUCCUUAGAGUUCUUAUUGAUGGGGAAGUUUGCGACCUCGAUGUUGGAUUAAAAUUUACUUUUGGUGUAGCAGCUAGAAAGUUAGGUCUGUUCGACCUUUAAAAUUUUACAUGAUCUGAGUUUAGACCGGCGUGAGCCAGGUUGGAUUCUAUCUUUUAUUUGUUAAUUUACUUUAGUACGAAAGGACCAGGUAGUUGAAUAAUAUUUUGUUUUUGUAUACUAU